rnacentral:rRNA from 1 species
UGCGGCCGAUUAGGUAGUUGGUUAGGUAAUGGCUUACCAAGCCGUUGAUCGGUACGGGUUGUGAGAGCAAGAGCCCGGAGAUGGAACCUGAGACAAGGUUCCAGGCCCUACGGGGUGCAGCAGGCGCGAAACCUCCGCAAUGUGAGAAAUCGCGACGGGGGGAUCCCAAGUGCCAUUCUUAACGGGAUGGCUUUUCAUUAGUGUAAAGAGCUUUUGGAAUAAGAGCUGGGCAAGACCGGUGCCAGCCGCCGCGGUAACACCGGCAGCUCUAGUGGUAGCAAUUUUUAUUGGGCCCAAAGCGUCCGUAGCCGGUUUAAUAAGUCUCUGGUGAAAUCCUGCAGCUUAACUGUGGGAAUUGCUGGAGAUACUAUUAGACUUGAGACCGGGAGAGGUUAGAGGUACUCCCAGGGUAGAGGUGAAAUUCUGUAAUCCUGGGAGGACCGCCUGUUGCGAAGGCGUCUAGCUGGAACGGUUCUGACGGUGAGGGACGAAAGUUAGGGGCGCGAACCGGAUUAGAUACCCGGGUAGUCCUAACUGUAAACGAUGCGGACUUGGUGUUGGGGUGGCUUUGAGCUGCUUCAGUGCCGAAGGGAAGCUGUUAAGUCCGCCGCCUGGGAAGUACGGUCGCAAGACUGAAACUUAA